rnacentral:lncRNA from 1 species
UUGGGAGGGCGAGGCCCGGGACCUGCGCCGCUACUUCGACGAGCAGUUCGGCUCCGACCUGCCCAAGGAGGUGCUGGGCGAGCUGGAGGCCCUCGAGGAGCGCCUCAAGAAGAUGUGACCGCCCGCCCGCCGCCGAACGCUGGCCGGCGCCUUCGCGGACCUUUCUUCGUGCUCCCUUGGCCGACGCCUUCGCUGCUGGCUCUUCGCGAGCCGUUGGCCGCCGUCUUCGCUGACCAAUCACCGCGUCCCCCUCAGUCUCCGCCUUCGUUGCUCGGUCUCCGGGACCUGCUGGCGAGCUUCUUCGUUGACCGAUCGCCCCGUCCGUUUGCCCUCCAUCUUGGUUGCUCGGUCUCUGGAACGUGAUGGUCGCCGUCUUUGUUGACCGAUCAGCACGUCCUCUCAGCCACCGUCUUCGUUGACCAAUCACCGCGCCCCCUCGGUCUCCGUCUUUGUUGCUCAGUCUCCGGGACCUGCUGGCCGCCAUCUUCAUUGACCAGUCGCCAUGUCCCCUUGGCCUCCAUCUUGGUCGCUCGAUCCCCGGGACCUGCUGGCCACCAUCUUUGUUGACCAAUUACUAUGCUCCGUUCAGCCUCCAUCUUUGUUGCUCGGUCUCCAGGAUCUGCUGGUCUCCAUGUUUGUUGACCAAUCGUGACAUCUCUUUAGCUACCGUCUUCAUUGACCAAUCAGCGCAUUGCUUUGAGUGCCGUCUUCGUUGAGCAAUCACUGCAUCCCCUCAGCUGCCAUCUUGGUUGCUCAGUGUCCGGGACCUGCUGGCCACCAUCAUCUUGAGCAAUCACCGCGUCCCCUUGGCCGCCAUCUUUGUUGCUCGGUGUCCAUGACCUGUUGGCCUCCACCUUCGUUGACCAAUCACUGCGUCCCCUUGGCCACCAUCCUGGUUGCUUGGUCUCCAUGACCUGGCCUCCACCUUCGUUGACCAAUCACUGCAUCCCAUUGGCCUCCACCUUCGUUGACCAAUCGCCCUGUCCCCUUGGCCACCAUCCUGAUUGCUUGGUCUCCAUGACCUGCUGGCCUCCACCUUCGUUGACCAAUCACUGCAUCUCGCUGCAUCUCGUUGGCCACCAUCUUUGUUGCUUGGUCCUUGGCCACCAUUUCCGUUGCUUGAGCUCCAUGACCUGGCCUCCACCUUCGUUGACCAAUCACUGCAUCUCGUUGGCCUUCACCUUCGUUGACCAAUCACCGCCUUGCGUUGGCCACCAUCUUUGUUGCUUGGUCUCCAUGACCUGCUGGCCUCCAUCUUUGUUGACCAAUCGCCACGCCCCCUUGGCUUCCACCU